CCACAGACACACACCUCCCUGACAUCGCAGAGGCAGUUCGUUUGCCAGUCCAUCCACACCUAUUAAAACCCCAAUGUAUUUACCAGUUAUGUCUGUUAUAAUAUUCACUGCUUUCAUUAGAGAGAGAGGAGGCAGGCGUGUGUGAGUGAUAUCGCCAUGUGCACACCACGUUUUGAUGUGAGUGGGGGAGUCAAACAGAAGGGCCUGGAGAGUUCAACAAAGCCAACAACUGCUUCAUGUGUGCCACUGAUAAAGAACCUGGAUGUGGCCCAAAGACUGACUGGGAAUGAAGACAAAAAGAGAUCAACAGAGUAAAGAACACAAACUGGAAGUGCAGUCUUUGUUGUUGAAAAUGUAUGCUAUACCCCAUCCACACUGAAGAGGCUCUGAAAUGUACAUCAACCAGGGAUAAAGAGAAAGUUAACACUGAAA